UAGUUGCAGGAACCUGGAGGCCAUCCCAGCCUGCCAGUCUGUCAAAGUACUAACACACACAUGAUAUGUUCACAUACACAUGUUUUGGCUUAAAGAUACCUGUUAUGGUGGCACAAACACAGCUGGAAAUGUCCCCAGACCUCUUAAAAAUGUCCAAUGUAUCAUUUGCAUAUAAAAAUGUCAAAAAUCCAGCACACACACUUGAACUGUGGACAACCGUUUUGUAGCUUUGUCGCCUGUAACUCCACAACCUCCCCCUUUCUAUGUGACAUUCAGCGAUGUAAACAUUAUACAGCACAUUUUGAAUUAAUGUCAGUAUAUCUGUUGUCUGCAGGUGUCUGGGCUGAGGGAAUUACCUAAUUAAGUCAUGUCAUCCUUUACUUGGCCGUUCCUCAGGAAUAAAUGACAUCAUGAAGGAUUUGUCCCUGUCAUUGCUGAGUCGGGGGUGUGGUCGAUUUGUCUCGACAGGGAGAUAUGACGGACGGCUGGACGUUUUCCUCACACCUCAGGAUUACUACAUCUGGAAGUCGCAGGUCUCUUUCUUGCAAGUGUCCAACAGAGGUCAUCUGCAUGUGGAAACAGAGUCAACCCUUCCAAAGACUUACAGCACUCGUAGGGGGCCACUAUUACUGUACUCCCAGGACUUGGUUACUUUAGAAACCAGUUGUCACUCAUGGACCAGAGACAGGAAGCAGCGAGUUGUCAGGCGGUACACUCGCCGAGUGGAACCGGAUCUCGGCACAGUCAAGGAACUAACAGCAGCCAUUUUGAGCUACAGCAAAAAUGAGUUUAUCUCCUCAAGACUCGGUCCACCCUUUUUUCCUCCUUUUCAUCUUGCUCCUGUACCAGACCUUCAUCGUCCCAGUCCUCCACCCAUUCACACCACACAGGAGCAGUCCAGUCAAGAGCUACUUGUAGGGUUGAACACUGAGUGGCUUCCUGCAGAGCCAAACGCUCAGCAAGAUGAGAAUCAACCUAAAGAUGAAGAGGAGGAGCAGUGGAAGAGAAUCAGGCAGGACGUUUUCCUCCAGGUACCCUGUAUAUCCAGGGCUCCAUCCCCACAGAUACAGCAUCAGCCCUGUGCACGCUCUGAUUCAAUGAUCUCUGAUGAAGAACCUCAGACUUAUUCAGACAUGAGUCAGCAGCAUACAGAAGUUUCACGUCAAACUGAAGUAAACACGCACAGUCUGGGUGGAGAGCUGCAUCAUCCAAACAUGAUCUGUGUCCCUGACAUGGCAGAUGAUCAGAACUGUUCCAAUCAGAACAGUGAGACGACCAGUGAUAAUGGCAACUAUGAAAGAUCAGUGAAUGCCAACAGACAUGGCCUCCUCCCUCCUCUGACUGAGAGACAUUCAGUCUGUCAUGGACCCUGCUGGGAAAAGACAGGCAGGCCACGAUUGAAGGGCACCAGCAGUGAUGAACACUUUGCACAGCCCCUCCCGCCCAUAGCAGAGAGUUGUGCUGUUGACCCCGGCUGGGCGGUCCGGGCUCAGACCCAGAAAGCUGCCCGACCAAGUGCAGAAACAUUUGGGUGUCAAUCCCAAGAAAACCUGAAUCGACUCCAUCAGCAGCUUCUGUUUCCUCCUCUGCUGUUUCCCGGGAAGGAGGAAGAAAUAAAUGGAAAGCAAAGAGGAAGAGGAGAAAAGCAAACGGAGAGACAGAACUUUAAAAAAGACCCAGAAGUGCAAGGAGGAGGAGGAGGAGGAGGAGGAGGAGGAAGGCUACCCUCCGAGAAAGGCUCUGUGAUACUGCUGGAGCCAGGAGAAGAGCCUCCUCCUCCGGUGGGAGUGUUGGGUUGUGUUGCAGGAUGGAGAGGCCUGGGCAAGCAGAGCUCUUUGGCCUUCUUACAGAACCCACUGUCUGACCUCCAGGAUCCAUGCGAGGCUAACAGAGGUGUGGUCAGGGGCAUUGUUCCUCUGGAGCUGAGAGAUUUGCAGAACGGCAAAUCUGUUGGCAGCCUGAUCCUGGGUCCUGAUGGGGAGAUCAUUCAACUGUCACUGUAUGACAGCAGCCACAACCCACCUCAGGGUGCCUGCGACACACAGGAGCAAGCUCUCCAGGUUUUGUCUGCAGAGGGAGAGACGUUACCCUGGGUCAUUGUCCUGCAGCCUGAAAAUACUCAAGCAGCGUGUGCAGAGGGAGAGGUGGAGUUAAACACAGAUGUUCCUGAGGGCGACAUCCAGCAACACCAGUCCGAGCUCGUCGAUCUUCAGAGUGACAAGAAUGCUUACACACCCAGCAGACACACAGAUCCAGUGGCUGUGACCCAGGAAAAAAAGAGUCCAGAGGCGGUGGGAGAAACAAGGAAGGCACCAAAAAAGGAUGCUAAAAACAAUGUUAGGCUGCCUCCACUGAGGGAGCCAAGAAGAGGCCACGCUGAGGCAGAGGAGGACGACAAACAGGAAGAGCGGGGAGGUACACAACAGUCCAGCCAUUUGUCUGGAUCACAUCAGCCAAGUUUGCCCAGAGAGAAGCUGCAGGUAAAAGAUGACGCAUCAUCAUUCAGCGAGCAGAACAUCAACUCAAAGGAAGCAAGAACGGAGGACGCUGUGGACCAAAAGAGGAGGAACACAAAGAGGAGAGACACUCAGGAUGUGAAAACAGUGAGCGCAGACACAGAGGGACAGAAGACAUCAAGGACGAGGAAGGAAGGAAGACGGCAGAGACACAAGACGGAAAGUGAUGCUGCUCAAUCGACGAGGAGCCAGAAACAGGAGGAGAAGACCAACAGAGAAGCUGCAGAGACUAAGAAGCAGUCUGCCCUCCCGCCUGAGAAGAAGAAGACGACACACAGGCAGGAAGAGAUGGAGGCGAAGGUGAACAGGGAGAAAGAAGAGCAAGGAGAGGUGACAGGGCAGAAAGAAGACUCUGAUGGGAGAAGGAGGAGAGGAAGGCUAAAACACAAAGAGUUAGUUACAGAUAAUCAUGGGAAAGAGGAGCUGGAUAUUAACAAGGAAAUGGAAGAGGGGUCUCACCUGAAAUAUACCAAAAGAUCCUCUGCAACCCAGAGAAGCAACAACAAAACCGAAACUAAAUCUGAAUCUCUAAAUCCAGAGGAGGACACAGACAGGGACCAUCUUUCCAGCAGUGCUGACAGACACAGCAGUGUCCAAUCAGUGAGCUCACUCAGGUCCACUGCUGCUGCAUCUCGGUCCAGUCAAAGGAGCCGGAGGAGGUCUGCUGACUCUCCCUGUGAGGGGGCAGUGCCCACCAGCGCUACAGGACUCGCCUUAUCACGUGGACGCCUGUCAUCAUGUUCCACUGUCAUGGUAACAGAGGAACAGCUGAUGCUGAACACAGUAAAGCCAGAGUCAUCCAGGCCCAGAAAGAGUGAGGAGAAGGAGGAGGAGGAGGCUGCAGCUCUGCGUCUGGCCCAGCGAGCAGAGAGACGGAGGCUAGAGGUGGAGAGGAAGAGGAGGGAGCGGGAGGAAGAGGAGAGGAAGCAGCAGGAAAGGGAGCAGAAUGAGGAGAGGAUGAAGAGCGAGCUGGAGGAGGAGAGGAGAAAAAAAGCUGAGGAGCUCAGGUCCUACUUUUUUUACUGAAGUUGAAGUCAGUCUUAAACAAACAGCUAAGUUGGAAUCUCUAAUCAGACUACUGUUGUAGUUCAACAAAGGUGUUAAACAUGCAAUAACCUUUUUGGCCACUUGGGGUCAGUAUAAUCACAUCAUUGAUAUCAUCACCUGUAGAGUGGUGUAGGGAUGAUGGUUCCCUCCACAAAGAGCCUUUGGGAUUUUUUUAUUGGAUUUCAGAACAAAAUCUCCGUGUCAGACAUAAGUUUAUGAUACUUACAUGUUUUGUUCAUCACUAUAAUCUUCCCAGUUGAACACCACUUUGUGAUUUUUGAAACUGAACUUAUAUCACUAGCAGUAAAAAGCUAAUGUAACUAAAGUGGGCCUGUAAAAAUGGACUAGUGAAAUUUCCUGGAUCUUCAGUGUUGUGGAGCCCAAUAUUAUUUAAUCGUGCGGCUCUUCGAGACUUUACCAAUUUUAUUGGACUGAAAUGCUAAACGUACGAAGGUCAAAUUACUCAUUGUAACUUGGACAGAUUGAAAUGCACUCAAACAAAGGGCACAACAACUGCUGCUCCAUUAACAUCCAGUCUCCAUCUGCAGGCUGAAGAGGCUGGCGGAGGAGGAAGAGAGGAGGAAACGCGAGGAAGAAGAGCAGGAGCGAGCGAGACGCGAACAGGCGCAAAGAGAAAGAGAGAGGAGGAGGCAGGAGGAGAGGAGGCGGCAGAUGGAGCAAUUCCAGAGGAUGAGAGAGGAGGAGGAACAGAAGAGGAAAGGUAAGUGUGAGGAGAGUGCAGAAAGAGAGAGGAAUCUGAGAGACAAAGAAAAGCAAUGGCAGGUACACACACACAUCCCACCUGAAUACAGUUGCACGACAAUUACACCCCCUCAUUGCAAAAGUGCUCCCCGCUUUGUGCUGUGUCCGGACAUAUCGUCCUGCUGGGGGCACCAAUGCCAUCGGGGCGUUCACAUGAAUACCAGGACCCAAGUUUUCUCAGCAGGAAAUGUGAUUUUAAAGAGAUGAUCUUUAAAAUCUGACUUCACCGGUCAGUGGUUUUGAUGAUGUGGCUAUCUUGGGUUACACUUCACAUUAGAAAAAGGCCCUUUAAAAAUCCUUUUUAGGGACUAUGAUCUAGCUAGAAAGUCAGAAAAUUCAGCCUGAGAGGGAGUUUGAUUCCACCUUUUAUUAAUGUUAUUUAGCUGAAAUGCUAAGAAAGUUCCUGGAAAUCCCUUUUGUCGCCUCCAGCUGAACUAGAGCUUCUGCGCCUGGAAGAGCAGAGGAGGCAGGAGGAGGAGAGCAAGAAGCUCCAGGAGAUGGAUGAGAGUGAGAGGACAGAGUACCUCCGCAGGAAGGAGCAGGAGAAGGAGGACAGAAGGAACAAGGAAGAGGAGCGUAGAAGGACAGAAGAAGAGGCCGCCCUUCAGGCCGCAGAGGAGGACAGGCUGCGGGCCGAGCUGCUGGCCAGGUAUGUACAGUAAGUGUGUCGGCCCACGUGAACUGGAGAAUUUGUAAAUUACGUACUUUCAAGGCCAGAAAAGGCCGUCGUCCACACCGAGAAUGAUAAUUAGGCUUAUUAAUUUGUUUUAAAUUGUACUGUGGUCCACACCAGGAGGAGGGUGUCUUUGGGAUCACUUCAGAGUGAUUUAAUGAACAGAAGAAACCCUAGUUAGGCAACGUAAAUACUUGCAGUACUUUUUGCGUCCUCUCUGAUUUAACAUGCUAUAUAUUGCAAAUGUAUUGUUGUUAUACAGCUCUCUCCAUCUGUCGAUUUGCUCUCCCUGCAGACAGAUGGCGCUCUUGCAGCAGCAGUUAGCCUUUAAAAGGGGUCUCAUGUUCGAGGCUGAAGGGCUGGAAAAAAGCCAGGGUAUCUCCAGACCGUGGAUCUACUCUUACUUCUCUCUGUUAGAGCUGCUGGGCCUGAGCUCAGCUACAGCUGGGACCUCGACCCCCUGACCUGAGUGUGAAAAGAACUGUGUUUGAUGAAAUUAAAUUAUUGUUAAGCCAAAUGGAACACACUGGUGAUGAUGACAAAGAUGAUGAUGAUGAUGAUGAUGAUGAUGAUGAUGAUGAUGAUGAUAGGAGAUGAACAUCUCCAGUUUUCAAUGAUAAAUGUGAUUGUUUAGUUAUUGUUCAGUUUCAGUAUUAGUAUUAAUAUAGGGGUAUUGGUCAGGGGCACGAUUUGACAAGAUCAGAAUAGUAUUACAAUACAAACACAAUUUGGGAAGGCAUCACAAUCGUGUACACGUCUCUAUAAACAUAUGCACCAAUGUCUAAUAUACUAUCAAAAUUAAACACCCUCACGUGUGAUAGAGUUGCAGUCUUUUUAUUGUCCCCAGCUUUUGAGAAGCACCUCCAAUUUUUGGCAGCAAAAGACCACAUAUGAUCUGAGUCAGAAGAGCUGAAUGAUCAGUCCAUACAUUGAUAAAAUAACACAACGCUUAAAUAGAACAACAACAUGUCAACUCUCUGACUGACCAGGCUGUAGGAACAGGCAAAGACAAAGCUGAGGAUUGAAACAACAUGCAGAGUAAACGUGUUAAGAUCCUUCUUUUUAGUCUCUCCUGAAGCUUUUACACACAUUACCAAUAUCUUUACAUAGGUGAAUACAAUGAAACUGAGAGGAGCAGCUACCGUGAAAAACAACAUCAUGAAGAUAUGACACGGUUCUGUUUGGUGAACAAGAAAGUUCAACCACAAGUGAACUCUGCUGAUAACAAAGCAAUAAAACUUUGAACGAAUCGUGAAUGACGAUAAAACUCCAACUUCUGCAAAAGAAACUGUCAAAAUAACAAGAAUGACUAUUUGUACUCUUCUUGUAGUGAUUGUGAGAUCAUAAUGUAAAGGCUUACAAAUACAUUUGUAUCUGUCAUAUGUCAUUACUGUUAGGGUUCCAAAUUCAAUUGCCACAUAUGAAUGAGUAGUAAAGUGAAUGAAGCAGUAAGAGGUUGAAAUUUCAGUUUCUGGCUCCAACAAGCUGGGCAACAAAGACAGACACAAGCUGUACAGGCACACAUACAUGGGCUUGUGCAGAUUUCUGUCCACAUACAUGAUGGGGCGGCUGUAGCUCAGUGGGUACAGCUGGUCGACUAGUGAUCGCUAGGUCGCUGCUGGUUCGAAUCCCGGCUCCCCUGGGGCGGAACUGAGCUACAAUGUCAAAGUAUCCUUGAGCAAGAUACUGAACCCCAGAACUGCUCCUGUUGUGCAGUUGGCACCUUGUGUGGCGGCCUCUGCCAUCAGUAAGGGCCCUGCGAUGAGCUGGCGACUCGUUCAGGGUGUACCCUGGCCUCGCCCAUAGAGAUAACUGGGAUUGGCUCCAGUAAACCCCACGACCCCUUGAAAAAGGGAGAUAAAAGCGGUAACAUCCCCGCGACCUUAAGCAGAAGAAAAUGAGAUGGGAUAAAUGAUCAUAAAAGAACUGUGUUUGCAAAAAUAAUUGCUAUGUAACAAAGCAUCCCCAGGAUGAAAUACAGGUAUAUAAAGCUCCCUAUGUUACAAUACAUAACACAAAUGAGAGAACCUGUGUUGAGUUUUCCACCUGUUUUCCAGUCUGUGUAGUUGUUUUAAGUCUUUUGAGGGUAUGUGACUGUCAACACAGGAAACCUGAGAGAAAGGCUUUAAGUUUUAACAUUCUGUGUGUUCACUCUCCAUGGUUUGCAGCUCUAGCUCAGGGGUACUCAAAUACAAAUGUGUCAUUCUUACUAUUCGGUGCCAUUUCAGUGUGGUAACUUUCUAUCAAAAAAUGUUUUUCCGUGUUUUUAACAUUUCAUCUGAAAGAGGGAUUUUCAAACUAUAAGAAGAAUGUAUUGGUCCAGCUAAGGAUAUUAUACUGUCAUAUUUUUUACCAAAUUCUUUACACAUCACGUAGGCCAAAUGUCCACCCUGUUACGGGACAUUCUCAUUUAUAUUAAUUACUGUUUUGAAUACACAGUUAUAGUGAUAUUUACAUUUUCUAAGAGCUACAGUGUCCCUUAUUUCACCCUGCAAGGAUAUUUUAAGAAAGUAUUCAUAAACAAGCAUUAUAUUGAAAGAAGACAUGUUCAGUUUUAGGGCACAGUGUAGUUUUUUUUCUCAACACAUUUCUUUUAGAUUUAAAAGGAAUACAAAUGGAAUUUGGCCCAUUUUUAAGUAAUUCUAUUUAGCUAACUCAUUCCCUUCAAAUAACCACAGAGACAUGCAUUAUAUUUGUUGAUAUGAUUUAUUUAACAUAAAAAACACACACACAAGUAACAGGGUGGACAUCACACCAGUGAACAACUAAAUAUUACUUUAAAGAAACUUUGAACACACCCCCACCUCCCCACCAACCACAGGUAGAUGCAUGUCCACAUUAAACAAUCAAAUUCACUGUGCAUCCAAAAUGAAGAACAUGUUUUUCUCACACCUCUCACCUCUCAACUUGCAACAGACCAGCAACAAGACAGGCAGACACACACACACACGCACACACACCCACAC
ensembl:lncRNA